CGAAAGCCUGACGGAGCAAUACCGCGUGAGGGAGGAAGGCCUUUGGGUUGUAAACCUCAAAAAUUAGGGAAGAAAAAAAUGACGGUACCUAAAAUAAGCAUCGGCUAACUCCGUGCCAGCAGCCGCGGUAAUACGGAGGAUGCAAGCGUUAUCCGGAAUCAUUGGGCGUAAAGAGUCCGUAGGUGGCUAAUCAAGUCCGAAGUUAAAGACAGAAGCUAAACUUCUGGAAAGCAGCGGAAACUGAAAAGCUAGAGUACAGAAGGGGUAGAGGGAAUUCCCAGUGUAGCGGUGAAAUGCGUAGAGAUUGGGAAGAACACCAGUGGCGAAGGCGCUCUACUGGACUAAAACUGACACUGAGGGACGAAAGCUAGGGUAGCG
rnacentral:rRNA from 1 species